ensembl:snRNA U6 U6 spliceosomal RNA
GUGUUCGCUUCGGCAGCACAUAUACUAAAAUUGGACCGAUACAGAGAAGAUUAGCAUGGCCCCUGCACAAGGAUGACACACAAAUUCGUGAAGGGUUCCAUACUUUU